GUGAAUCAUCAAAUCUUUGAACGCAAAUUGCACUCUCUGGUAUUCCGGAGAGUAUGCCUGUUUGAGGGUCAGUUUAAAUAAAAAUCUUUGUGGUUGCUGCCUUUCCUGGUGACGCACCGGAUGUUGGUCGUCUUGCCUUCGGUUAAGUGACCUAAAAUUGUUCAUGAUUUUUUUGAACGUAUUUAAAUGAUUUUACUU
rnacentral:misc_RNA from 1 species